AUUGAACGCUGGCGGCAGGCCUAACACAUGCAAGUCGAACGCGUGGCGGACGGGUGAGUAAUGUCUGGAAAACUGCCUGAUGGAGGGGGAUAACUACUGGAAACGGUAGCUAAUACCGCAUCCCAUCAGAUGUGCCCAGAUGGGAUUAGCUGGUUGGUGGGUUAACGGCUCACCAAGGCGACGCUCCCUAGCUGGUCUGCGAGGAUGACCAGCCACACUGGAACUGAGACACGGUCAAGAGUCCCACGGAAGGAAGAAGUGGGGAAUAUUGCACAAUGGGCGCAAGCCUGAUGCAGCCAUGCCGGGUGUAUGAAGAAGGCCUUCGGGUUGUAAAGUACUUUCAGCGGGGAGGCGUUACCCGCAGAAGAAGCACCGGCUAACUCCGUGCCAGCAGCCGCGGUAAUUC
rnacentral:rRNA from 1 species